rnacentral:tRNA from 1 species
GCCUGGGUGGCUCAGUCGGUUGAGCGUCUGACUUUGGCUCAGGUCAUGAUCUCACAGCUCGUGAGUUCGAGCCCGCGUCGGGCU